rnacentral:sRNA from 1 species
GCAAUUGGAGCCCACCCAGCAGCGAAUUGGCCGCAAGCGUCCACUUGGAAGACUGCUGCGGCGUUGGUGCAUGGUUAUGCCUUGUGAAGAUUAUUUCUCCAGCUCUCUAGCCAGUUCUGUGGGCUCACAAGAGGUGCCCAGAACAAGGUCCAUUGGCGUUUGUGCAACUCAAUUCCUUUUGUUGUGUUCAUCUCCAAACCAAAAGCCCCGCCACCAAGCUGUGCGGAUGUGCCCAAUCCGGAAGUCAUAAAUAGAACACAUUAUCCUCUUUUCUCCUUUUCCUCUAUUUUCACCCUCAAAGUCAAUUAACUCCAGCCAAUUCACUUACCCUCUCCAGUACCUCCUCUCGUCUCCUCUCCUUGGACCUCUCUUAGCUCUUCCCUCUCCAUUCUAGCGACUUGCUAAAACUCAGAAGUGAUAGAUAUCGACAUACAUAGACCCCCUUCAUAUCUACCCCGCUAACCACCUACAUCACCAUGGGAAAGAAGGCUGUUCAUUUUGGCGGCGGCAAUAUCGGCCGUGGCUUCGUGGGCGAGUUCCUCCACGAGUCUGGCUAUGAGGUUGUCUUCGUUGAUGUGAUGGAUAAUGUUAUUGAUGCCCUGAACAAGAACUCAUCCUACACCGUCACUGAGAUUAGCGAGGAAGGUGAGCAGCAGAAGGUCAUCACCAACUACCGCGCCAUAAACUCCAAACACAACCUCGACGACGUCAUCAAGGAGAUAUCUACGGCCGAUGUCGUCACCUGCGCUGUUGGCCCUAACAUCCUCAAGUUCAUCGCCCCACCGAUCGCCAAGGGUAUCGACACCAGAACACUGUCCAAACCACUAGCUGUCAUUGCCUGCGAAAACGCUAUUGGAGCCACAGACACCCUCCAUGGCUUCAUCAAGGAGAACACGGAUGAAGCCCGUCUUCCGUCGCUGUACAGCCGUGCCCAAUUCGCUAACUCCGCCAUCGACCGCAUCGUGCCCACCCAGGACCCUGGGUCUGGCCUCAACGUCAAGAUCGAGAAAUUCUACGAAUGGGUCGUGGAGAAAACACCCUUCGGUGACGUCGGACACCCAGACAUCAAGGCUAUCCACUGGGUUGAUAAAUUGGAACCCUACAUCGAGCGCAAGCUAUUCACCGUCAACACCGGCCAUGCAACCGCGGCCUACUACGGCUAUUCAGCCGGGAAGAAGACAAUCCAUGACGCCCUGCGCGAUGACAGGAUCCGCAAAGAGGUCAAUGCGGCACUGGCAGAAACCUCAAGACUGAUCGUGGAGAAACACGGCAUUUCGCCCGAAGAACAGGCGAGGUACGUCAGCUCGAUCAUCACCCGCAUCUCUAACCCUCAUCUCGAAGACGUCGUGCAGCGCGUCGGCCGCGCGCCGCUCCGCAAACUAUCUCGCAAGGAACGCUUCAUCGGGCCCGCUUCACAGCUCGCUGAGCGGGGCCACACGGUCACCGCGCUGAUGGACGCCGUUGAGCAAGCGCUGAAGUUCCAGAAUGUGCCCGAUGACGAGGAGAGCUUUGAGCUUUUCAAGAUCUUGAAGGAAAAUUCUGCCGCGGACGCCACUACGAAACUUACGGGGCUAGAGAAGGAGCAUCCUCUGUAUUCUCGCGUGCUGGAGAAGGUCGACAAGGUCCAGAAGGAAGCGAAAUAGACUAGAUUUCGUUCAUCGGAACUUUUCUCUCUUUUUCUUUCUUUCUUUUCUUUUCUUCAAAACUACAAUGUAUCUUUCCGCGGGGGCGCCCCCAUUGCGUGUGAAGGACAACCGCUGAGGGAAAGGAAAUAUGGAAACAGAGCACUGGGUACCAAGCUGCAAAAGUACUAUUUGUUAGGGAAGGGAAGGGGUGUCCUUUCUCUCGGAAACAAUGAUAGGGCGGGACGGGGCAAGGAAUAGGAGCACAGGUAGCAAAAUAGUUAUUCUCCCUCUCCCUUUUUCGUCAGCUAAGGCAGGGUGCUAGUGAUGCAUUCAUUAAAAUAGCUACAGUAAUAAGAAUGAAAACAUGACUUCUAAUCUCCA